rnacentral:rRNA from 1 species
AAUAUGUGACAAUGGGGGCAACGCUGAUCCAGCCAUGCCGCUUGUGUGAAGAAGGUCCUCGGAACGUCCAGCACUUUAAGUUGGGAGGAAGGGCUUCAGGCUCAUACCCUGAAGUUUUGACGUUACCAACAGAAUAAGCACCGGCUAACUCUGUGCCAGCAGCCGCGGUAAUACAGAUGGUGCAAGCGUUAAUCGGAAUUACUGGGCGUAAAGCGAGCGUAGGUGGUUCAGUAAGAUGGGUGUGAAAUCCCCGGGCUUAACCUGGGAACUGCUUUCAUAACUGCUGAGCUAGAGUACGGUAGAGGGUAGUGGAAUUUCCUGUGUAGCGGUGAAAUGCGUAGAUAUAGGAAGGAACACCAGUGGCGAAGGCGACUACCUGGACUGAUACUGACACUGAGGUGCGAAAGCGUGGGGAGCAAAC